CUGAACCUAAUAUGCGGAAGCUCAAACAUUUGCCUUGGCUAAGGCCUAUGUGGUAUUCAAAACCACAUUCACUUCAAAAAAAAAAACUAGUGAGAUUCAACACAAACAAACAACUACACAUAAAUAAGAAAAAACUAGUGAGAUUCAAAACCACAUUCACUUCAAAAAAAAAAAAAAACUAACCACCUAAACUAACUUAUAACUAUCA
rnacentral:lncRNA from 1 species